AGCAAACAGGAUUAGAUACCCUGGUAGUCCACGCCCUAAACGAUGUCUACUAGUUGUCGGGGAUUAAUUUCCUUGGUAACGCAGCUAACGCGUGAAGUAGACCGCCUGGGGAGUACGGUCGCAAGAUUAAAACUCAAAGGAAUUGACGGGGACCCGCACAAGCGGUGGAUGAUGUGGAUUAAUUCGAUGCAACGCGAAAAACCUUACCUACGCUUGACAUGUCCGGAACCUUGGAGAGAUUCGAGGGUGCCCGAAAGGGAACCGGAACACAGGUGCUGCAUGGCUGUCGUCAGCUCGUGUCGUGAGAUGUUGGGUUAAGUCCCGCAACGAGCGCAACCCUUGUCAUUAGUUGCCAUCAUUAAGUUGGGCACUCUAAUGAGACUGCCGGUGACAAACCGGAGGAAGGUGGGGAUGACGUCAAGUCCUCAUGGCCCUUAUGACCAGGGCUUCACACGUCAUACAAUGGUCGGUACAGAGGGUAGCCAAGCCGCGAGGUGGAGCCAAUCUCAGAAAACCGAUCGUAGUCCGGAUUGCACUCUGCAACUCGAGUGCAUGAAGUCGGAAUCGCUAGUAAUCGCAGGUCAGCAUACUGCGGUGAAUACGUUCCCGGGUCUUGUACACACCGCCCGUCACACCAUGGGAGUGGGGGAUACCAGAAGUAGGUAGGGUAACCGCAAGGAGCCCGCUUACCACGGUAUGCUUCAUGACUGGGGUGAAGUCGUAACAAGGUAGCCGUAGGGGAACCUGCGGCUG
rnacentral:rRNA from 1 species